UUAGUAGGCGUUGUGGGAAGG
rnacentral:miRNA from 1 species